CGUCGCUCCUACCGAUUGAAU
rnacentral:siRNA from 1 species